CCCGGAGUGAUUUACACAGGCAUCAGUUAUGCAAUCUCUUUCUGAGGGCGCUGAAGUACAAUGAAAAAAAGUAUUUGACUGGAGUUCCAAGCUGGUUUAAAAUGCACUACUGAAAUGGCUAACAGAACAAACUCCUCUGAGUACUUUUGGUCGUAUGAAUAUUAUUGGGAUUAUAUAGAUCCAAUUCCCGUAGACGGAAGCAAGUUGAAGGUUAAUAAAUAUUCUAUUGUCAUAGCCUUUUGGGUUGGGCUUGCUGCAUUUGUGACGUUUCUUUUCCUUAUUUUACUGUAUAUGUCCCGCUCUGGAUCAACUCCAGUAAAACAAGUGAUUGUACGGAACUGGGCAGAGAGAAGCAGUUCCAACAGUGAACAGCUUCAUGGCAAUGAUCUCAGUAGCCCAUACACAGAUGUAUUUGCUUCUCAAACAUCUACCUCCCUUUCGGAUGAAACCAGCAUUCAUGGAAGCAUCUGAGCCCGAAUUAAAACUGGAGCUGGUUAAAAAAACCGAGCAGUGCAGCCCUCCUGACUGCAGAAAAAAGCUCAGUGCUGUGUCUGCCUGUUAAACACUGAUACCACAAACCUGAACUAGUUCAGGAGGAAAAGAAAAAGAAAAAAGCCUUUCAACAAAGCCUGUGAAAAGUCCUGAGCGCAUAAGAGGAAGUCCUAAUGGUCAUAUUUGAGGCACGCUGCAGAAGCUGCCUGAUUAGAAGAGUGGUUUAGAUCCUGGGAACAGUGACUGCAAAAUUCCUCUCUCGUGUUUAAGAGAAGAUUCAGACUCGAACUCCUCUUUCAGUUACACUGUCGAAGGGUGUUCUGUUGGAUGAGCAGUUCUUAUUAUGACUCCUUUGUCUGAGUACAGAUUUACUCCUGCAGCAGAAAGUGUGUACCAGUUACACCCUUAAGUCCUGUAAAGAGUUCUGCCUUGCUCACCUGAAUGAACGCCGAGUCCUGUUAUCCUGAGGGGUGUCUCUGCAGCAUCAGUUUGCACUGGUUGUCUUGCUGUGAAAGAAAGCAGCAUCCCCUUGAUCUCACUGACCAAUAUUUUUCGUAUGUCGUGAGAGCCACAAAUGUCUGCGUCUGGCUCUGUCCGCGGGUCACACUCACCAGCUGCAUUUCAGUGACACCUCCACUUACCCAUCCACUGAAAAAUAAGCAACAAUGUCAAGUGCAACAUCAACAAUAGAAUUUUUCUUUUAGAAGGGUUACAACUUUCUUCACUAAGAAAGCUUAAAGCCCAACAGUUCCCUCAAUAAUAGAAUAUUCUCUUUAUUUACUUUUCUAUUAAAAAAGUAUUCAGGUGAUUUAAAAGAUAACAAAACACUGUUUUACCUAGAACAGCCUUUAGAAAGCUAAUGGCAGCACUCACUAUGUCAAUUGAGUGUCUUAUUGAAUAAAGUCAUUAGUUUUACCUACUGCCCAGAAAUACAGCUUUGCUACCAAUAAUCAAUCACUUUUUGCUUUCAUUUUGAAAUAGUUAGUGGAAAAGAAACUGCUAACAUUGAACAUCUUGAAAUGGUAUCUGCCAGUCACCCAGGCAUUAGGAAAAGAGAAGUGUAUUUAUCAUAUUCUAUAUCAAAGGAAAACACUAACAAAACCAUAAAAGCAACAUCACGUUCCUGCACAAGUUGCCUGCUUUCAGCUGGGGCUGACUAAUAGUUUAACAGAAACCACAGCCCUUGUGAGGGUCACAGAAGCUUUUCAGUGAGGUGGAGAGAACAGGUUUAACUCAGCUGGUGCAGAGUUGGAAGGGCUACUCAUACUCCCUCCCCCUUUAAUGGUUUCUGAUCUUUCGACCUCUCCUCACCUGUGGAGCUCCACCAAACCAGGCAGAACCUGGCAAAGGUCCACAGGAAAGCGAGGAACUCUUAGAUCUCCAGUGAGCAUGAAACAGGGACUGCAGAAUCAGGUUGAGGAAGGCAGCGAGGACAGGGAGAGAUUAAGACUGCAGAACUAGUUGCUGCACUGAGGACAUCACAAAAUUCGUUUGAAACUUGAGGCAAAGCUUAGAAAUUCCACAUCUCCAAGCAGCCAACAAAAAUUCCUACAGUGAAGCACUGCCAGAGCAACCUUAUGCUGCAUACGGGGAGUGCGGGCUGUGAUAUUACCAGGGAGUGGGUGGUUGGGCUGUGCUAAAAAAGCCUUAAACACAAGAGACAGACCAAACCACCAGGCAUAUGUUUAUAUAGUGGGUUGUUGGUUUUUUUCAGUCUUCAAAUUUUUUAAUCUCUGGGAUAAACACUUCUGCGGUUUGUUUUUUGAGCAAACUGACUGCUAGUGGUGUUGGGCUUGGAAACCUGUCAAGGCAUAGAGUCUGUUGAGUCAGACUGAGUCAUGGGGCAGAUGGAGAAAACAAGGAAAGGCAGCAGGAACUUAAGGUGCAACAUGGGCAGAGAUGUAUAGGAGAACCACAGACUUCCAUCAGUCAACAACAGCCUUCCCCUCCCUUCAGGUAACCUUACCUUUUGCUAGAGCUGAGGUAGUUCUCACAGGAGACGUGAAUCAACUCCCUUUUUGAUACCAGCUGUCCCACUGCAAUUUGGGACUGUUACUUUUAACCUGCUGCAAUCACACAGGAUCAUCAAAGACAGUCUGAAGAGGACCAUUUUCCUCAUGAAGGGUACAGCAACUGCUCUUCGGUCAUUCCUGCCACAUCUGUCUCCCCCGAGCUAGAAUAUCCCUCCUACAACAGGACUGCACUGCUUGCCAGCGCAGCCUGCUCCAGCAUCCUCCUCCCUGACUCAUGACAGCCCCAUAUCACCCUAUUUUUCAAGAACCUCUUCUCUGCAAAUGUAUUCCAGGGGGAUUUCUGAAACGUGUGAAUACUCCCAUUCGUAACAACUGGUGUUCUGUCAUUAGUUGUACUGGAAUAUGUCUCGAAGUACAUAACCACUGAAAACACUUGUUUUUGUUCCUUUAAAAUUACUGGAAAUGGAAGGCAUGUAGUAUGAAGUAUGUAAUAAAUAAUAUGCAAAAUGUGAGCUUCUCAUAGCACCUAAC